AACGAACGCUGGCGGCAUGCCUAACACAUGCAAGUCGAACGAGACCUUCGGGUCUAGUGGCGCACGGGUGCGUAACGCGUGGGAACCUGCCCUUAGGUUCGGAAUAACUCCCCGAAAGGGGUGCUAAUACCGGAUAAUUUCUUCGGACCAAAGAUUUAUCGCCUUUGGAUGGGCCCGCGUUGUAUUAGCUAGUUGGUAGGGUAAAAGCCUACCAAGGCGACGAUCCAUAGCUGGUCUGAGAGGAUGAUCAGCCACACUGGGACUGAGACACGGCCCAGACUCCUACGGGAGGCAGCAGUGGGGAAUAUUGGACAAUGGGCGAAAGCCUGAUCCAGCAAUGCCGCGUGAGUGAUGAAGGCCUUAGGGUUGUAAAGCUCUUUUACACGGGAUGAUAAUGACAGUACCGGGAGAAUAAGCGCCGGCUAACUCCGUG
rnacentral:rRNA from 1 species